GCUGGCGAUCCACCAUCCGACCGGGAUUCUCACCGCCGUCAGCCCGCUUUCUGAGAUGAACCUGAAGUCUUCUUCAACUAUGUAUGUUUUCCAGUGGUUCUGCAAAUUUACCAGCCAUGUAAGUCACUUGAAAUAACUUCAUCAGAGGUAGUAGACAAAAAUGUGCGCGCUUAUGCCUGUUAGUUUGUUCGUUUAUUCAGUGACAGUUGCGGACUCGAAAGCUCCAAACCAUAUAUUGUGUACAGUAUAUUGCAGCUUGUGUUGUUA